CUCCCAUGGGAAGAACCCAACAUUUUUAAUUUGGGAGGGGAGGUUCACCUGUCUUUUCAGACGGUCUCCCUGGAAUAGAAAGAGAAAAGCAGUGCAUGGUUAGAGGGGAUUUUUCAUCCAAUAAGUAGUCCUUUAUGAAGACCCCAAAUUCCCUCAGUUCAAUGACUGCAACUUACUCAACAGUGAUUUCUGCAUCUCUGCAAAAAAGAAAGAAAAAACACCACAUGAUGAGGUGGGACAGCUUGUCAUCGCAUGGGAAACCCCAUUUUCCUUUGGUUCAGGUAUGAAGACUCACCCAAUUCUUCUGUUUGUUCCUCUGGAAAGAGAAAAUCAAUGCAUGAUGAGGGGAACAUCUCAUCUCACAGCUCACAGAGGCUUAUCCAUUUUUUUUUUUUUUUUUUUAACUUGCGGGGUGGACUCACCUGAUUCUGCAGCUUGUUUCUCUGCCAAAGAAACAAAUAAGACAUACAUGAUGUGUGAAAUAAAACAAUAAUGAUGAGAUAUUAAACAAUGCACGAUGAGAGAAACAUCUCAUCCACAGCUCACACAGGAAAACCACAGCAGUUUUAUUUUGGGAGUGAAGACUCACCUAUGUCUUCAUAAUGUAUGUGUGGAAAAGAUAGAUAAAAUAAGUGCAUGGUUUGAGGGGAUUUUAAUUCUUCAUUUCUGAGGGGUGACUCACCUGAUUCUGCACCAAGCUUCUUGGCUAUCGAAACACAUUAGAAACGGAUAAUGAGUAGGAUGAGAUUAUCAUCCCAUGGCUGAUCCCAUGGGAAGACCCCAUAUUUGUUCAGUGUAGGUAGGGAGACUUACUCAGAUCUGCAGCACUUAAAUCUGCAAAGGAAAAGCGGUAACAAUAUUUAAUGAGGGGAACAUCUCAUCCCACUGCUCCCACUGGAUGACCCCAACAUUGUAAAUUUGGGAGAGGAGACUCACCCAUCUGUUCAACUUCCUCCUCUGGCAAAGAGAGAGAAAAGCAGUGCAUGGUAAGAGCAGAUUUUUCAUCCCAUACGCAGUCCCGUGGAAAGACCCCAAAUUCCCUCAGUUUAGUGACUGCAACUUACUAAAACCUGAAUUAUCUUUCUCUGUAAAAAAGAAAGAAAAAGCACCUCAUGAUGAGGUGGGACAGCUUGGCAUCCCAUGGGAAACCCCAAAUUCCUUUGGUUUGGGGAAGAAGACUCACCCAGUUUUUCAGUUUGUUUCACUGGAAAAGAAAGAAAAGCAACACAUGAUGAGAGGAACAUCUCAUCCCACAGCUCACACAGGCAGAUCCCUUUGUUUUUACUUUAGGAGGGAGCACUCACUCAGUUUUGCAAUUUGUUCCUCUGCAAAGGAAACAAACGAGAAAUGUGUGAUGAGAAGGGUCAGGUUAUCAUCUCAUGGCUGAUCCCAUAGGAUGACCCCAUAUUCCUUCAGUGUAUGGAGGGCGACUUACUCAGAUCUGCAGCACUUAAAUCUGCAAAUGUGAAGCAGAAACAGUGAAUGAUGAGAAGAACAUCUCAUCCCACAGCUCACACAGGCAGAACCUAAUUUCUCAUUUUGAUUUUGGAGGGAACACUCACCCAGUUUUGCAGCUAGUUUCUCUGCAAAAGAAGCAAAUAAGAAAUGCAUGAUGAGAGGGGUCAGUUGAUCAUCCCAUGGCUGAUCCCAUGGGAAGACUCCAAAUUCCUUUGGUAUAGGGAGGGAGACUUACUCAGAUCUGCAGCAUGUGAAUCUACAAAGGAAAAGUAGAAACAGUGCAUGAUGAGAGGAACAUCUCAUCCCACAGCUCACACAGGCAGACCCCAGUGUUUUUAAUUUGGCCUGGGAGACUCACCCAUCUCUUCACUGUCUUUCUCUGGAAAAGAAACAGAAAAGCAGUGCAUGGUUAGUUGUGUUUUUUCAUCCCGUUCUCAGUCCCUUGGGAAGACCCAAAAUUCCUUGUUUAUUGACUGCAACUUACUUAUCUGUGAAUUCUGUUUCUCUGGGAGAAAAAAAAAAAAAAAAAAAAAAGAAAGAAAAGAAAAGAAAAAAGAAAGAGAAAGGAAUCCAUGAUGAGGUGGGACAGCUUGUCAUCCCAUGGGAAACCCUGCAGUCCUUUGGUUUGGGAAAGAAAACUCACCCAAUUCAGUUAUUCCCACUGUAAAAGGAAGAGAAAAGCAGUGCAUGAUGAGGGGAACAUCUCAUCGACAGCACACAGGCAGACCCACUUUUUAUUUAAUUUCGGUGGGAGGACUCACCCAGUUUUCCAGCUUGUUCCUCUACAAAAUAAACAAAUAACAAACGCAUGAUGAGAAGGGUCGGAUUGUCAUCCUGCGACAGAUCCCAUGGGAAGACCCCAAAUUCCUUCAGUGCAGGGGCGAAACUUACUCAGAUCUGAAGCACUUGAAUCUGCAAAAGAAAAGCAGAAACAGUGCGUGAUGAGAGGAAGAGCUCAUCCACAGCACACAGAAGAAGUUUUAAAAAAACUUCUUUUUUUAAAUUGGGGUGGGAGGACUCACCCAGUUUUGCAGCUAGUUUCUCUACAAAAGAAACAAUUAUGAAAUGCAUGAUGAGAAGGGUCAGAUGAUAAUCCCACAGCUGAUGCCAUGGAAAGACCCCAAAAUCCUUCCAUGUUGGGAGGGAGACGUACUCAGCUCAGCAGCAUGUAAGCCUGCAAAGGAAAAGCAGAAACUCUGUGUCUAAAGAGCAGAAACUCUCUGUCUGUAUCUAGCAAAUUAACACGGGGAAGGGAGACUCACGUGAUAUUGUAGCUUGUCCCACUGGAAAAGAAAGAGAAGGGCAGUGCAUGUUAAGAGGGGACAGCUGCUCAUCCCAUGGCUAAUACCAUGGGCGACUCAGACUUAACUCAGGAUGGGGAAGGAGACUUACCCAACUCUGCAUCUUUUCUCUCUAGAAAUUAGAAGCAAAGGAAAUGCAUGGUCAGAGGGAAAACCUUCUCACCCAAUGGCUAAUGCCAUGGGGAGACCCUGAAUUCCCUCACUGUGGGGAAAGACACUUACCCAACUCUGCAUCUUUUCUCUCUGGAAAAUAGAAGCAAAGGAAAUGCAUGGUCAGAGGGAACACCUUCUCAUCCAAUGUCUGCUCCUAUGCCCAGACCCCAAAUCUUUUUGUUCUGGUAAGUGGCCAGUGAUCACUUCAGUAAGAAGAAGGAAUUAAAUCAAUAGAAAGAAAGUGAUUGGGCAGGAGUUUUGCACAUGGAUCAAUCAGGAUCGACACAUCCCACAACCCAACUGCAUCCCAUGAACCCAACACAUCCCAAGGCCCCAAAGAUCCCAGGUUCCCUGCACAUGGCAUAAACCCAGCACUCUGCAGUCUUCUAUCAGUUCCAUUAAAGGGACUUUGUUGUUGGAAAGGAAUGGUAGGACUCACUCAGCUUUCUGCUCAGUGCCACUGGAAAACAAAGCGGAAGAAGGGGUGGUCAGCAGGGCAGCUUGGUUACUGGUGAUGUCUCAGGAGUGUCUGGACCUUUCCACCUGCUCCAUGGUCGACCCACGUUCCUAUCUUCCCACCCACACCACUUUCCUUUUUCCCCUUCCUUCAUUCCCAAAAAGAAAGGCAAAAGUUAUUUAAUGAGCACUGGGAAUCUCAGGAAAAAUCUCCCUUCCUCCUCCUGUAUACCUCCGUGGACCAGAGCUCAGCACCACCCCAACCAUCCCUGUCCAUGCACAACACCUCCCUGUGCUCCAUCUGCUCUGCUCUCAGCUCACCUUUCUUUCUAUAGAGAAAGACAUUGAUGACGACACAUGACCCAACCAGAAGGGUGGUGACCACAGCCAGAGCCACCUUCCAGGGACGGACUAUUUGGGAAAAGGGAUCUGUAAAAAACAUCAGGACAAGGGUUAUUUUUCCAUUGCCUUCUGUGGACAAGCACGACUCAGCCUUGGGACAUCACAGAAUCUGAAUGGUCAGCAAGCAGGGAGCAGUGAUAUACAAUGGCAGCAUCCCCAGCUUGGCAUAGAUGGAGGAGCUGCUGAGCAUCGUGUGCCCACUGCCACUGAGACAUGGAGAAACCCAUCCCAGAAACCCAACCCAACCACCUCAUCCAUGCAGACCCAUCCCCAAAUCACACCGUGCACCCGCUGCAAUUCCAGCAUCUCAUGGAGCAAUUCAGCCCUGACCUCUUCCGAAGACUGCUGUCCUUCAGCUCUCCAUCCAUGGACGUGAGGAUGAGGAUGGACAGAGGUCAGGUGGAACACACAACCCCAGCAACACCUGGAGGCGUCACUCCAGCCACUGACCUGACACCUCCAGGUCCACCACAGCUUCUGCAUAGCCAUCACCAUCUUGAACAACACAGCUGUACGAGCCACUGUCAGAGGAGCUCACAGCAGUGAUGCGCAAAUCCAGGUUUCCAUCAGAGAGACCAUCCCUGAGCAGUUCUGUUCUCCCUUUAUAUUCUGUCAUCUGCUCCAGGUCCACUCCGUCUUGGUAGUGGUGCACAAUCCCAGAGGAGCGGUGCUGGAUCCAUCUGAUGUCAGAGCUCCAAGCAUCCUUGCAAGGGGACAAAUGACAACGCAGCACGACGUCCUGUCCCACGUUGGCAGUGACACGGAGGCUCGGUGCCACCACCGUGAGCUGGGCUGGGCAAUGAGAAGGGCACGGAGAGAUGGCGAGAUGGUGGCUGUGUUAAUGUGGGGGCAUGGAGCGGCACAG
rnacentral:lncRNA from 1 species